rnacentral:rRNA from 1 species
UUUGGGCGCAGCUGAUGCAGCGACGCCGCGUGAGUGAUGAAGGCCUUCGGGUUGUAAACCUCUUUCGGCGGGGACGAUGAUGACGGGACCCGCAGAACAAGCCCCGGCUAACUCCGUGCCAGCAGCCCCGGGAAUACCUAGGGGGCGGGCGUUGUGCGGAUUUUCUGGGCGUAAAGGGGGCUUAGGCGGGUUGGUAAGUCUGGGGUGAAAUCCCCCGGCUUAACCCGGGGGCGGCCUCCCCUACUGGACGGCUUGAGUGGGGGGGAGGGGGGGGGGAUUUCCUGUGGGGGGGGGGAAUGGGUAGAUAUUGGGAAGAACACCAGGGGCGAAGGCGGCUCCCUGGUCCCGUACUGACGCUGAGGUGCGAAAGCGUGGGGAGCAAACAGGAUUUG